AGCGUGAUAAAUUGCCCUUUAAUUGUGGGCCUGUACGAACGGAUAUACGAGAGUAAGACUGUCUACUUCUAUAAAAAUGAAAAUUGCUACCCAAGUGAAAACGCUUGGAUAAAUCCAAAGGACAAAAAGACCCCGUAGAGCUUAGAUUUCCUACAAACUAAAACUACUUAUUUAUAAAACUUUUUAUUUAAUAACGAAACCUUAACUGGGGCGGUUAAGGAAGAAUAAAUCUUCCUCUAUUAUAAUUACUGGCCUACACGCCACCCUCAUGACCCUAAUACUUUAGAUCAAAGGAAAAGCUACCUCGGGGAUAACAGACUAAUCUUUCUUAAGAGUUCACAUUGACAGAAAGGUUUGGCACCUCGAUGUUGGCUUAGGGUACCCAAUAGGUAGCAGCAGCCCUUAAUGGUAGGUUUGUUCAACCUUUAAAAC
rnacentral:rRNA from 1 species